rnacentral:rRNA from 1 species
ACGGGUGAGUAACACGUGGGAACGUACCCUUUGGUUCGGAAUAACGCUGGGAAACUAGCGCUAAUACCGGAUACGCCCUUUUGGGGAAAGGCUUGCUGCCGAAGGAUCGGCCCGCGUCUGAUUAGCUAGUUGGUGGGGUAAUGGCCUACCAAGGCGACGAUCAGUAGCUGGUCUGAGAGGAUGAUCAGCCACACUGGGACUGAGACACGGCCCAGACUCCUACGGGAGGCAGCAGUGGGGAAUAUUGGACAAUGGGCGCAAGCCUGAUCCAGCCAUGCCGCGUGAGUGAUGAAGGCCUUAGGGUUGUAAAGCUCUUUUGUCCGGGACGAUAAUGACGGUACCGGAAGAAUAAGCCCCGGCUAACUUCGUGCCAGCAGCCGCGGUAAUACGAAGGGGGCUAGCGUUGCUCGGAAUCACUGGGCGUAAAGGGCGCGUAGGCGGCCAUUCAAGUCGGGGGUGAAAGCCUGUGGCUCAACCACAGAAUUGCCUUCGAUACUGUUUGGCUUGAGUAUGGUAGAGGUCGGUGGAACCGCGAGUGUAGAGGUGAAAUUCGUAGA